rnacentral:rRNA from 1 species
UUGAUCCUGGCUCAGGACGAACGCUGGCGGCGCGCCUAACACAUGCAAGUCGAACGAGAGAUGAGGAGCUUGCUCUUCAAAUCGAGUGGCGAACGGGUGAGUAACGCGUGAGGAACCUGCCUCAAAGAGGGGGACAACAGUUGGAAACGACUGCUAAUACCGCAUAAGCCCACGACUCGGCAUCGAGCAGAGGGAAAAGGAGCAAUCCGCUUUGAGAUGGCCUCGCGUCCGAUUAGCUAGUUGGUGAGGUAAUGGCCCACCAAGGCGACGAUCGGUAGCCGGACUGAGAGGUUGAACGGCCACAUUGGGACUGAGACACGGCCCAGACUCCUACGGGAGGCAGCAGUGGGGAAUAUUGCACAAUGGGGGAAACCCUGAUGCAGCGACGCCGCGUGGAGGAAGAAGGUCUUCGGAUUGUAAACUCCUGUUGUUGAGGAAGAUAAUGACGGUACUCAACAAGAAAGUGACGGCUAACUACGUGCCAGCAGCCGCGGUAAAACGUAGGUCACAAGCGUUGUCCGGAAUUACUGGGUGUAAAGGGAGCGCAGGCGGGAGAACAAGUUGGAAGUGAAAUCCAUGGGCUCAACCCAUGAACUGCUUUCAAAACUGUUUUUCUUGAGUAGUGCAGAGGUAGGCGGAAUUCCCGGUGUAGCGGUGGAAUGCGUAGAUAUCGGGAGGAACACCAGUGGCGAAGGCGGCCUACUGGGCACCAACUGACGCUGAGGCUCGAAAGUGUGGGUAGCAAACAGGAUUAGAUACCCUGGUGGUCCACACCGUAAACGAUGAUUACUAGGUGUUGGAGGAUUGACCCCUUCAGUGCCGCCGUUAACACAAUAAGUAAUCCACCUGGGGAGUACG